rnacentral:rRNA from 1 species
UACGGAAGGCCCGAGCGUUAAUCGGAAUCACUGGGCUUAAAGGGUGCGCAGGCGGACCUGUAAGCAUGUCGUGAAAGCCCCCGGCUCAACCGGGGAACUGCGAUGUGGACUGCGGGUCUUGAGGCAGGUAGGGGCGAGUGGAACCAUGGGUGGAGCGGUGAAAUGCGUAGAUAUCCAUGGGAACGCCGAUGGCGAAGGCAGCUCGCUGGGCCUGUCCUGACGCUCAGGCAAGAAAGCGUGGGGAGCGAACGGG